CUUGACAUGUACGGAAGUCCGCUUAGAGGUGGAUGUGCCCGAAAGGGAGCCGUAACACAGGUGCUGCAUGGCUGUCGUCAGCUCGUGUCGUGAGAUGUUGGGUUAAGUCCCGCAACGAGCGCAACCCUUGUCCCUAGUUGCUACGCAAGAGCACUCCAGGGAGACUGCCGGUGACAAACCGGAGGAAGGUGGGGAUGACGUCAAGUCCUCAUGGCCCUUAUGGGUAG
rnacentral:rRNA from 1 species